UGAGUCUAUACCAACAUUUGGGAAUGCUA
rnacentral:piRNA from 1 species